rnacentral:rRNA from 1 species
UACGAAGGGGGCUAGCGUUGCUCGGAAUCACUGGGCGUAAAGCGCACGUAGGCGGCUUUCUAAGUCAGGGGUGAAAUCCUGGAGCUCAACUCCAGAACUGCCUUUGAUACUGGAAAGCUCGAGUCCGGGAGAGGUGAGUGGAACUCCGAGUGUAGAGGUGAAAUUCGUAGAUAUUCGGAAGAACACCAGUGGCGAAGGCGGCUCACUGGCCCGGUACUGACGCUGAGGUGCGAAAGCGUGGGGAGCAAACAGGG